rnacentral:ribozyme from 15 species
AUAAUGGUAGAAUUGCGUGCAAGUGUUUUGUUGUGUCGUGUAGUUUUCUUCUUCUUCUUCGCUUUUGGUUUUCUACUCUACUACAGUACUAUUCUGUAUGGACAGGAAGAAAGCAAUACGAUACUGCACACUCUUGUCUAAAGUAGGAUGAGUGAGUCGUCUCCUUUGCUUCCUUUUUUUCAAAACCAAUCAAACCAAUCUUUCACAACAAGCGGGAAAUUACAAACAAAGGAAGCCUUCAAAGUGGUCGUGUUUGUUCCAAAGUCA